GCUAACUGAUACUAAUUGCCCGUGAGGCUUAACCAUACAACACCCAAGGGGUUU
rnacentral:rRNA from 1 species